rnacentral:rRNA from 1 species
AUGCGUACAUACACGAAGCGGAUGCCGCCUAAUCCGGCGAGGCCGAGCUUCAACGAGCCCUCGCACAUGACCGCUCCGUCGAGUAUGAUCUCCUGCACGCCGCGCCCCAUCCCGCUUCGGCAAGGCCGAGCUCCAGCGCGCCCGCGCCCCUGCCCGCUCGGCGCGGCUGAGCUCGAUUUGAUCGGGAGGUCGAGCGCCAGACCUCGCCGUCGCCUCCAGCAGCUUCGAAUAAACACCCCGGUGCCGCAUGGCAUCUUUAUGACGAGCCCUGCAACCUCCUACUACUUCCCGUCGUCGCCCUGCUCCGGCAGCAGCCGCCACGCCGCAAGCCAUCGUCCUCAAGCUCCCCUGCCACCUCUGCGUCGACUACAAGCUCCUGGUGAGCUCCUCCUUCUCCUUCUCCUGCUCUCCUGUGUCUCUUGGCAAGCACCAGUGGCUGGGACGACGCCGGCCCUGCCAGCGAGGGCACUGGUGCGUCCGUGUCGUGAAUGA